rnacentral:lncRNA from 1 species
UUAUAACAACUAGGUAGCUUUUGUUUUGAAACCCUUUCACUACUAAAUUGAUCCUUGUCUUUCCUCAUGUGCCGUCAUGUGAGACCAUUGAACUUAGUGCCGACCUCCAUUCAAUGCUUACUGGUACGGAACAACAUGUCCCCACACCCGCAUACGUAGAUUGAUGAAGUUGACACACAUCUGUAAUACCCCUACUGCCCUACAUAUUAGUGCUUAUUACAUGAUCAGUUACAGUAUAUGUGAGCAAAGUGUAUUGUAGCAAGUACUAAUAUAUGUGAAUGGAAACAUCACGAGACGGAUGCUUUUGUAUGAGAAUUGCAUUAGUAUCGAAUUUAAUGACUAAUAAGAUCCUAGGUCUAAGUAAAAAAAAAAAGUUCAAGAACUAACUUGCCAAUGCUAGAGUUGUGGCCACCUCAUGCAUCUUUUGACAUCUGCCACCUCAUGCAUCUUUUGACAUCUGCCACCUCAUGCAUCUUUUGACAUCUGCCAGCUCAUGCUCAUCAAAAAUGCUAAGUAUUAAACAACCACCUCAUGCUUGUGCCACCUCUAGUAUAUUUAUUAAUUGCCACUUCAUGCUAAUUUUCAUUAAGCUACCACCUCAUGCUUAUUACUGGUAAAGCAGUGCCUCAUACCAGAAAUUCAGCCACCUAGCUUCUCCUAUACUGGAAACCUAGUUGCUAAUAUCCCAUGGUGAGACACCAAAGGCUUACAAGCCAUCUAUAAAUAGGAGGUUGCAGCACUCUUCCGCCAUUUUUGCAAACCCUACAAGUUCAACCACCUAUAAAGUAGACAACUAUUGAAGGAAAGGAGAGAAAGUAAAGAAGAAGUGAAUACCAAGCAAUCCUCUAAGACGAAAGAAGGUGGUGCAUGAAGUUUUAGAACAGGAAUCAGUAAGUGUCCUGAAAUAGCUGAUGUUCCACUUUACAAGUUAUUUACUUAUGUCCACAGAUUUAGAACCAAGAUCGACAGAACCGUCCCAAACUGGAUGAUUCUUGCUGAUCCGAGCCAUACCGGUGGCUCACCGGUACAGUUCCAGCAACAAAAAUGAGACCCAUUGUUGGAG